rnacentral:rRNA from 1 species
UACGGAGGGAGCUAGCGUUGUUCGGAAUUACUGGGCGUAAAGCGCGCGUAGGCGGCUUUGUAAGUUAGAGGUGAAAGCCCGGGGCUCAACUCCGGAACUGCCUUUAAGACUGCAUCGCUUGAAUCCGGGAGAGGUGAGUGGAAUUCCGAGUGUAGAGGUGAAAUUCGUAGAUAUUCGGAAGAACACCAGUGGCGAAGGCGACUUACUGGACACAUAUUGACGCUGAGGUGCGAAAGCGUGGGGAGCAAACAGG